rnacentral:rRNA from 1 species
UACAGAGGUGGCAAGCGUUGUUCGGAAUUACUGGGCGGAAAGGGCGAGUAGGUGGCUAUCUAAGUCAGACGUGAAAUCCCCCGGCUUAACCUGGGAACUGCGUCUGAUACUGGACGGCUUGAGUAUGGGAGAGGAACGUAGAAUUCCAGGUGUAGCGGUGAAAUGCGUAGAUAUCUGGAGGAAUACCGGUGGCGAAGGCGGCAUCCUGGACCGAGAUUGACGCUGAGGAGCGAAAGCUAGGGGAGCAAACGGG